rnacentral:misc_RNA from 1 species
CGCACCUUGCACCCCUUGGUAUUCCGAGGGGUACGCCUGUUUGAGUGUCGUGAAAUCCUCAACCCUCCUCCUCUUUUGUUAGAGGGGCCGAGGGCUUGGAAUUGGAGGCUUUGCCGGUAACUUUCUUCCCUGACCGGGGUUUGAGAUCGGCUCCUCUUAAAUGCAUUAGCGUGACCUUUGUUGGGUUCUCGGUGUGAUAGUCUGACUACGCCGUGGGGGCUCGACUCUGCAGGACACGCUUCCAACGGUCCUCGGACAACUUUCAUUUUGACUUGACCUCAAAUCAGGCGGGACUACCCGCUGAACUUAA